ACACUGAUGGUGGAAACGGCGCCAUGCUUGCCUUUCACCCGACACCCGACACCCAUUUCUCGUCAAGAGCGGUCAGCAAGCGGCGCGGGUUCGACCCCCGCUCAGUGCA